UUUCAGUGCUAAGAGCCUCUAUAUGUUAGCUUGUUGGAACAACUAGCUAUUUUCUAAACAGCUCUCAUGUCUAUAGAUUAUUUUUUGUCAGUUGCUCUGAAAGUAAUGCCUCCUAUUUAUUUCCACGGAAUCUACAACAGACACAAAGAGCACAAUAACACUAUUUGAUAGAGCGAAUUCUCAGCUAUGAAACUGUAUUUUUCAACACAGUCACCACCAUUAGUGAUGCAUUUUCAUGAGUGAUGAACAAGUGCCUGCGUGACACACUCGUAAAAAGCUGCACCAGUGAAGGUGUCCAACUGUUGCUGUCACCACCGCUGAAAUGCACCACCCACCGCCUCACUGUGCUCACAUCCACAGUUUGGCCUCCUUAAAUGUUCUUCAAGUGUCAGUGAUGCCAGUGGGGUGCCAUUUUUUCCACAUCAAGGAAUUCAGUGGCACACAUUUGCUCCAUACACACUUCCAUGUCAGAUGCCUUUGUGUCAGAGUGCCCCUCUGCUGCCACCUGUCACACAGCAACAACAUGUAACGGAACAUCGGCGGGAAGGUUCAACCUCUACUGCUGGACCACCAACAUCUGCCUCUGACACUGUGGGCCACCAUAAUACUUUUGGAGGGCAUUACUUUCAGAACAGCCCAUAUAUAUGCAAGUUGAAGGCAUCUGAUGCUACUUCUUGGGAAAGAUGAUAUUGGACAAAUCCAUGAUUAGAGCCUUUGUAAUGUAAACCAUCCCUACUGCGCUGGAAUUGAUUACACACAUUUGGUGGAAGACGAUUUGAAUGGUAAGUCACUUAGUCAUAUUCUCGUUUUCACACAUCAUUCAGCUUCCUACUGGCCUUCUGCUCAUUCUUUUCUCUCUUCACACAGUAGCAUGCACAGCAUGUUCCCACCAUUGUUCAGCAUAGUUUAAGAUGAUAUUAAGAUAGAAAGAUCAGUGUAAAUGUGCAGAAAAAUUUCCCAUUGAAAUGUAUAGGCUUCUCAAAUGCACAGAUGGCUACAACAUCCCCAAGAAAAACAGGGAAAUCUGCAGAAUUUAUUGGAGAGGUGAACUAAUUGCUGCAAAUAAUUAUGAAGUCCAGUCCUACAAGUGGCCAGGGAUUCUCAGUUUGACAGUGUAGUUUGAGGGAACUGGGAAUACUCAGCAGCUGCAUCUCUUAGAUUUAACCACACGGCCAAAGAAAC
rnacentral:lncRNA from 1 species